rnacentral:tRNA from 1 species
GGAGGGUUGGAUGAGUGGUUUAAGUCGCACGCCUGGAAAGCGUGUUUAGGUUAAUAGCCUAACCGGGGUUCGAAUCCCCGACCCUCCGCCA